UACGGAGGGUGCAAGCGUUAAUCGGAAUUACUGGGCGUAAAGCGUGCGCAGGCGGUUUUGUAAGACAGAUGUGAAAUCCCCGGGCUCAACCUGGGAACUGCAUUUGUGACUGCACGGCUCGAGUGCGGCAGAGGGGGAUGGAAUUCCGCGUGUAGCAGUGAAAUGCGUAGAUAUGCGGAGGAACACCGAUGGCGAAGGCAAUCCCCUGGGCCUGCACUGACGCUCAUGCACGAAAGCGUGGGGAGCAAACAGG
rnacentral:rRNA from 1 species